rnacentral:lncRNA from 1 species
UUUUUUAGGAAGGACCCACAUGUGAAACCACUUACCUGUUUAACCCUAUGAACUUGAAGAGAACAUGUAAUGGCACUUAAAAUACCUAAGCUAGGGUUCUGCCUUCAGUGACUCCUGGUAGUAGUGCCCUUAUGAGCCAUUUAUCAAGAAACAGGUGAGGAUGCUAUGAAAACCCCUUGGGAAAACAAAGGCACCUUGGGGGCCAUUGAGAACUCCUGACGAAGAGGGCUCAGCUGCCAGACCUGUUCAAGAAAGACCUCAGAAAUCUCUAUGGGGCUGUCAGAAGAAAAGGUUUGAAAAGGGUCUGGAGAGACUGAAAUUUGUCUGCCUUGGACUUUUCUUUUGACAAUUCACAUCCAUCUUAAGCAGAAUCAUUGUUUAUUCUUAUUAUGCCAGGUUUCCUUUUCUGGUCUGCAGGUUCUCUAGGGUUUCAUAGGCUAGUAGUUGGAAUUUUCAUAUUUCAAAAGCAUUGGGGAUUUUGCAAAAACAAAAUCUAAAGGAUAUUCAGCAGCACAGUUUACUUAGGAGGUUUUAAUCAUAAUAAUCUGCAUAAUGUAUGAGAAUUUCUACCUCAGCUGCCUCCUUUCUUUCUCUUUCGUGUCUGGGAAAAAGCCAGGGAUUUUUCCCUUCCUCUUAUUUAAAUACCUUAUAAAAUUUUGGUGGAAGCAUUUUGUCCUAUUCUGUCUUCCUGAUUCAUUUUCUGCUGUAAUGAGCAAAAUUAAUUUGCAAGAGCUGCUACUGACAUAGUGUAAUAAACUGGGUCAUAGGUAGAAUCAGUGCCUCCUUAUGACCCUUAGCUGUCAUUGCUUUAAGGAAUUUGGCAUGGUCCUCGAAGGCCAGAAGGCAAUGUGGGUUGCAUCCUACAGCUUUUGAGAUCUCAGAGACUUACUGCACCCAUGGCUGGGAAUGAACUGUAAAUGCUGACACUGGCAACUAGGUGCCAAACUGAAGUGAUCACAACCUAAUCUGAGCCAAAAGGCAUUUCUUUGCAUCAGGCAUAAAGCAAUAUCAAACUCCCAUAACCCACACACAACACAGAAAUCGUUACUGAAGAGAUUCAAUAUCAUCAUGCCAGACAUUAAGUGAGUUAUUUCUCUCCUUCCCUGUCUCACCACAGUUUCCUCCCACUUGGUCACACAUGGUAAGCAUUCAUGUGUGCGAAGGCAUUUUAUGCCUUCGACCUAACCCCGACCACAGUCCCCUAGUCUUAUCAGAGAUCUGCACUCCCCACCAUUUGAGCACGAUGGAGUGCAUAUUUCCAGUGCAAAAAGACUGAUAUCAUUAUGAUUUUCAUUAACUAGUUGCCAGCUUGCAUUCUUUUUUCUCCCUUUUUUUCUCUCUCAACAGCACUUCUGUCCUCAGCCCAACCCCAGCCAGAAAAGGUGUUGCUACAUUCAGUGAAAAAUUAUUAUUAGUAUAGACAUGAAAUUUGAUGAUAAUGUAGAUUGUUUUGUGUCAUCUGCAGGCUGUCACAAUACACUCUGCAUCACUGAAAUGUGUUGACCAGAAGGAUGAUGGUGUUGUCAUGAUACUGAGGUCUUUUAAUUAAUUACUUUGUGACUUUCAUAGCAUUUAGAAAAUGGAGAACAGGGUAUUUUCUUGAACAGCCUAGCCAAAUGAAAAACUGGUUACUAAUGUAUGUUAUCUUCAUCAACGAAGG